rnacentral:rRNA from 1 species
GACGAACGCUGGCGGCGUGCUUAAUACAUGCAAGUCGAGCGAGGCCCAUCCAGUGGCAACACUGGGGAAGGCCGAGCGGCGAACGGGUGAGUAACACGUGAGCAACCUGCCCCGAAGUCUGGAAUAGCAUCGGGAAACCGGUGCUAAUACCGGAUUGCCCCACCUGACCGCAUGAUCGGGUGAGGAAAGAUUUAUCGCUUCGGGAGGGGCUCGCGGCCUAUCAGCUAGUGGCGGGGUAACGGCCCACCAAGGCGUCGACGGGUAGCUGGUCUGAGAGGACGACCAGCCACACUGGGACUGAGACACGGCCCAGACUCCUACGGGAGGCAGCAGUAGGGAAUCUUGCGCAAUGGGCGAAAGCCUGACGCAGCAACGCCGCGU